rnacentral:rRNA from 1 species
AGAGUUUGAUCAUGGCUCAGGAUAAACGCUGGCGGCGUGCCUAACACAUGCAAGUUGAGCGACGAACCAGGGCUUGCCCUGGGGCAAAGCAGCGAACGGGUGAGUAACACGUGGGUAACCUGCCCCGAUGACCGGGACAACCCGAGGAAACUCGGGCUAAUACCGGAUGUGCUCGCCGGACACCAGUCCGGCGCGUAAAGGAAGCUUCGGCCUCCGCUUCGGGAGGGGCCCGCGGCCCAUUAGCUAGUUGGUGAGGUAACGGCUCACCAAGGCCGCGAUGGGUAGCUGGUCUGAGAGGACGAUCAGCCACACUGGGACUGAGACACGGCCCAGACUCCUACGGGAGGCAGCAGUGGGGAAUCUUGCGCAAUGCGCGAAAGCGUGACGCAGCAACGCCGCGUGGGGGAAGAAGGCCUUCGGGUUGUAAACCCCUUUCAGGAGGGACGAAGGUUCGGCAGUGAAUAGCUGUCCGGACUGACGGUACCUCCACAAGAAGCCCCGGCUAACUACGUGCCAGCAGCCGCGGUAAUACGUAGGGGGCAAGCGUUGUCCGGAAUCAUUGGGCGUAAAGCGCGCGUAGGCGGCCCGGUAAGUCCGUUGUAAAAGUCAAAGGCUCAACCUUUGAAAGCCGAUGGAUACUGCCGGGCUCGAGUCCGGAAGAGGCGAGUAGAAUUCCUGGUGUAGCGGUGGAAUGCGCAGAUAUCAGGAGGAAUACCCAUAGCGAAGGCAGCUCGCUGGGACGGUACUGACGCUGAGGCGCGAAAGCGUGGGGAGCGAACAGGAUUAGAUACCCUGGGUAGUCCACGCCGUAAACGAUGGGCACUAGGUGUGGGAGGUGUCGACUCCUCCCGUGCCGACGCUAACGCAUUAAGUGCCCCGCCUGGGGAGUACGGCCGCAAGGCUAAAACUCAAAGGAAUUGACGGGGACCCGCACAAGCAGCGGAGCAUGUGGUUUAAUUCGACGCAACGCGAAGAACCUUACCUGGGCUUGACAUGUUGGUGACCGGUGUGAAACACACCUUUCCUUCAGGACACCAUCACAGUGUGCAUGCUGUCGUCAGCUCGUGUCGUGAGAUGUUGGGUAGGUCCCGCACGAGCGCCACCCCUUGUCUAUGUGCAGCAUUUAGUGGGACUCAUGGGAUACUGCCGGGACAAACCGGAGAAAGGUGGGACCAACACUCCAG